AACGCACGAGACCUGCGGACCUGCGGAAGGAUCAUCAAAAAAAGAGAAGGGUAUGAAAAGUUAUUUUUUUACCUCUCUCACUUUUUUAUUAAUUUUUUCUUUCUUUCCCCUUUUUCUAUAUACUCCUUCCUAGGAGUUGUUAUUAGAGAAAAAGGGGGGGUGAAGAAAAGAAACUUGUCGACUUGUUGUUGUCCCCUUUUUAGGAGAGUUUCUUUUAAAAAGGGGAGACCCUUUUCCCUC
rnacentral:misc_RNA from 1 species